CCCCUGGCCACACCUGGCAGUGGCAUCUCACAAAAGUUGAGGCAGCUGGAGCAGCUCCAGCUUCACACCAGACCAUUUCCACAGGAACCUUCCCCCAGUGUGAGAGCAGUGUUGAUGUAGACUAUAUGAAAAUCUCAGGAAGCUCCGAGGUGGGUGGAAGGAAAUCAGGUGAACGGACUGAAGCAGCGUGUGAUCGUGAAGUAAGAUGUCGGGGAGGUUGACCUUGUAUUUAUAUCCAGCAUCAUGCUACUAGCGUGCACUUUAGGUUCUUGCAAGAAGUGUAUUUGAUGCCAGGUGCCAAAUAACCUUUUGUCGUCUUGCUGAAUGAGGCACUGCUUUUGUUCUACAGUCAAAAAUUACAUCUAGAUCUUAUAAACAUUAAAAAAUAUAUCCAUCUUUUCUUCUCCCUUCACCUCUGACAUACACACUAUUUGGCAAGAACUUGCAGUACCCCUGAAUCUGUACAUUCUGCUCAAAGUGAGAAGAGAAAUACCUCUCAUUUUUUAAGAUUAUCUCUGGCCAAUUAAAGACUUUUGCUAAUUAAUAGAUUUUUCUGAUCUGCCCAGCACUUAGUUAUGUGGCAAGAGUGUAGAGCUGCGAGGGCUGUGUGAGACAAAAUGUGUUGGACCAUGGGAUAUAGAAGGCCCGAAAACAACCUGAAAUUUUACCUAUAAAUUGCUGCAUGCAUUAAAACCGCACUUAAGGCUCUGUGUGCCAGAUAUAUGU
rnacentral:lncRNA from 1 species